GAAUGGAAAUGGAGGAAAUGCUAACGGACGCAAGUGGCCUUUCGUUUGUUUGCCGCAGAUCAGCAUCAGCUAACGGAAAUAAUCAUGUUGUGCUGCCUGAAAAUACAGAAGAUUGGAACUAUCGGUUGCACCACUGACAGAGUCAGAGCACCACGAGUCAGACGGCGCCCACUGGACUAAAUUACUGCCUGCAGCAAUGCCUCUUUAUUUAAGUAAAACUACUUGUAUGUACAUACGUACAUACCGAUGAUUACAAUUUGUUAAAGUUCAAUAAACAAUAAAUACAUAAA